rnacentral:rRNA from 1 species
AUUGAACGCUGGCGGCAGGCCUAACACAUGCAAGUCGAACGAGGGGCGGACGGGUGAGUAAUGUCUGGGAAACUGCCUGAUGGAGGGGGAUAACUACUGGAAACGGUACCUAAUACCGCAUACCAUCAGAUGUGCCCAGAUGGGAUUAGCUUGUUGGUGGGGUAAGGGCUUACCAGGGCGACGAUCCCUAGCUGGUCUGAAAGGAUGACCCGCCACAGUGGAACUGAGACAGGGUCCAGACACCUACGUGAGGCAGCAGUGGGGAAUGUUGCACAAUGGGCGCAAGCAGGAUGCAGCUAUGCCGUGUGUAUACAGAAGGAUUUCGGGUUGUAAAGUACUUUCAGGGUGGAGGCGUUCCCCGAAGAAGAAGCACCGGCUAACUCCGUGCCAGCCGCCGCGGUAAUUC